CAGUAGCCGCGGGAAUACGUAGGGUGCGAGCGUUAAUCGGAAUUACUGGGCGUAAAGCGUGCGCAGGCGGUUAUGUAAGACAGUUGUGAAAUCCCCGGGCUCAACCUGGGAACUGCAUCUGUGACUGCAUAGCUAGAGUACGGUAGAGGGGGAUGGAAUUCCGCGUGUAGCAGUGAAAUGCGUAGAUAUGCGGAGGAACACCGAUGGCGAAGGCAAUCCCCUGGACCUGUACUGACGCUCAUGCACGAAAGCGUGGGGAGCAAACAGGAUUAGAUACCCCUGUAGUCCCUGUCUCUUAUAC
rnacentral:rRNA from 1 species